rnacentral:rRNA from 1 species
CCAGUUGUUCCGCCAGGAGCAUCGCUGGGUAGCUAAGUAUGGAUGAGAUAAACUCUGAAAGCAUCUAAGUGCGAAACUCACCUCGAGAUAAGAUUUCCCAUUACGUAAGUAAGUAAGAUCCCUGAAAGAUGAUCAGGUAGAUAGGAUGGAAGUGGAAGUGCUGCGAGGCAUGGAGCGGACCAUUACUAAUCGAUCGAGGACUUAACCAA